UGCCGACAAGAAUAGGACAUGUUCUACUUUUUGCGGAGCCACGGCCCGGAAAUGCGGAUUCGGAGAGCACAUAAGUGUGCUCUCCGUAUCUCUUCUGGACCCAUAGAGAAUUAAUGGGUCCGCACCCGUUCCCGAUAUUGCAGAACAGAUGCGGACCCAUUUGCGGA